GACGAACGCUGGCGGCGUGCUUAACACAUGCAAGUCGAACGGAAAGGCCCUGCUUUUGUGGGGUGCUAGAGUGGCGAACGGGUGAGUAACACGUGAGUAACCUGCCCUUGACUUUGGGAUAACUUCAGGAAACUGGGGCUAAUACCGGAUAGGAGCUCCUGCUGCAUGGUGGGGGUUGGAAAGUUUCGGCGGUUGGGGAUGGACUCGCGGCUUAUCAGCUUGUUGGUGGGGUAGUGGCUUACCAAGGCUUUGACGGGUAGCCGGCCUGAGAGGGUGACCGGCCACAUUGGGACUGAGAUACGGCCCAGACUCCUACGGGAGGCAGCAGUGGGGAAUAUUGCACAAUGGGCGGAAGCCUGAUGAAGCAACGCCGCGUGCGGGAUGACGGCCUUCGGGUUGUAAACCGCUUUCGCCUGUGACGAAGCGUGAGUGACGGUAAUGGGUAAAGAAGCACCGGCUAACUACGUG
rnacentral:rRNA from 1 species